rnacentral:lncRNA from 1 species
CGCCACGCGUCUCCUGGGCCGACGCCCGCCGCGCCCCAGGCGCUGUCGAGAUGCGGCCAAGCCGCUGGCUGCGGGCCUCUGUACAGACGACGGCGCCGCCACCAGCGCCGCCUCCUCCCUCGCUUCUGAGACACUCGCGCCGCAAGACUUGCGAACAACCGCCUGACCGCGCGCCGCUCGCAGAAAGAGCCGCGGCCUGGAGGCGGGACAGAAAUAUCUGGCGCCGACGACGCCGCGCACGCGCGUUGGGCACCGCAGCCUGGGGGCGGGGCGCAGAUUACGCACGCGCCAGGGCCCUCCCUUCCACUCGCUGCCGCCCCUCUAGAUCCAGAGUAGCAAUGCUGCUGGUGAGGAAUUCACCCGCAGAGUGCGUGCUUGACGUCUCCCAUGCCCACCGCACGGUGCACCCAGGCUGGCAACCCGCGUGCUUGAGCGCGCAGGUCCUGCAGAGCCGAACCUUAGGCCCCGCCUCCUCAGCAGGCGUGGCGACGUCUGCAGCGGCAGCCUGGCCUAUAGUCGGGGAAGAGGGGCGGGACAAUACAGGGUGGGCGGGGCCACGGCAGAGCAAAGCGCCGGAGCCCAGGUGGAGGGGGUGAGGGGGUCUUUGCCAGGAAGUUCCCGCCGAACGUGGAGGCGGUCUUAACCCAAACUUUCUUAUUGUUAAACUCGGGAAGCAGAAAGUUGUCCAAGUCAAACCGCAGAUCACAGAGAGAUACUGCGAAGCCAUUCUGUAAAACUCUGCCCAGUCCUUCGAAAGCCCCUUCUGUGUUAGUCCUCUGCUAUACUGAUUUUAGUGUGAUUUCUUUUUUCUUUUUUUUUGUGUGUGUGUUAGGAGAACUGAACAUUUAACGCUAAGGAAUUAAAGUUGGAUCUGAUUG